GAGUGGUUGUGGAUGAGAUUUCACGAAUUCAUGCUCAUUCAGUGGUGGAAGAAGCCGUUGUUCUUUUAUUUUCCCAUUUUUUAAAAAAUAAUUUUCUCAAUUUUUUCAUUUGUUAAAAUUGGCAUGAUUAUCCGAUCCGGUUCGGUUCGGAUAGUUUAGUAAUUUCGGAUAACGUAAUUAUUUUAAUAAUUUCGGACAUGUAAUUAUUGUGGGAUUGCACGUUAACAUGUUUUACUCUUUCUCCGUUAUCUUUCUGCGCUGAAAUGUGCAAUCUGUGUUUAUCGAUUGAUAGAUGGCGUGGAUUCUCAUCGUUGCUUCUCUCUUUUUUCUAUGGAUCAUUUCUCUAUGCAAAGUUCUCCUUAUCUCUCGCAUUCCUUUCGCCAAACACUUUUCGCAAAAUGGUAGACCAUUUCGGAAGAGACAUGUCUUGUUGGUUAUUGCACAUCCCGACGAUGAAUCCAUGUUCUUUACUCCAACGAUAAAUUUUCUGACUACAAAGGGGCAUAACGUUCAAAUACUUUGCUUAUCCAUUGGGGAUGCAGAUGGAAAAGGAUACAUCAGAAAACAAGAGCUUUUUCAGGCUUGUGUAGCCCUCAAGAUUCCAAUGCAACAAGUGAAGAUUGUCCAGCAUCCAGAUCUGCAGGUUUUGAUCCAAUAGGAUGGUUUUGGAAAAGUUUGGAACCAUAGCUUAUUGGAAAAGAUUAUUGAGGAAGAAAUAAGCAAUCGCUGCAUUGAUACAAUUAUUACCUUCGACAACUAUGGUGUUUCAGGCCAUUGUAAUCAUCGUGAUGUGCAUUAUGGAGUAUGCAAGCUACUAUUUGAUACUUUACGGGGGGAUAUUGAAGUUUGGGAGCUUGUGAGCACCAACAUAUUGCGCAAAUAUAGUGGUCCUGUUGAUAUUUGGUUGUCCAUGUUUUGGGCCAUGCUGCACUCAAAUGGGACCGUGCAGUGCUUGGUAAAUGGACAUUCACAUAGGAGCUUUAAAGCUAUGGCCCAACACGCGAGUCAGUGGGUGUGGUUCCGCAAGCUAUUUGUAGCCUUGUCCAGUUAUACAUAUAUAAACACACUUAGAAAGGUCAAAUAAAGUUGCAAUGCUGAAGAAGUGUUGCUUGUUAGAUCAGCUUUCAUUGGUUACAAUCCUGUUUUGCAUCUGUCAAACUUUCCUGAGUCCAAGCCAUGCAUUAGGUGACUGUACCCUGCGCGGUUCAAGCUGCCUUCGCUUUCUCUUGACAUGAUUGAAUGGAAUCAGUGCUAAUCUUCCUAGAUGCCUAUGUUAAUUAAUGGUGCUAUCUUUGUCAGAAUUUGCUUACUAAGUUUUCAGUUCUUUGUAUUAGUUAAGUAGCACGAUAAAUAUUCUUUACUACCUAUAACUAUUAUAAUUCUUAAGUAGUCCAGUGACUUACAGGAU